GAAAGACUAGGCGACGCCAACCAACCCCCACCCCUUCCUGGGGUAGGGGAGCUCCCUGGGUGUGCUGUGGGUUUGUUCCUCCGGAGCCCUCCAGCCUGAGGGGCCGGUAACCCGGGGAAGGCUUGGCGCCCUGCCCAAGGCUAAGGGGUCCUGACAGCUGGGCUACAGUAGCAGCCUCUCGUCUUCCAGGCCUCGGAGUGGAGGAGCAGGUCGCUUGGCAGUCUUCUUGGGCCUCAGAGGGCGCCACAGCAGCACACUGGAGUGGCUGCCCAAGGGCCACCUGGGACAGGGCACCCUUCUUGUCCAGAACCCACCCGCCUGAGCUGGGCUGUGUGCAUCCAGGUGGGAAAGCUGAGGUGAACCAACUUUGGUCCUAGCACGUGUGUGGCAGGGAGAGGCUGCCAAUGCUUGCUGGAGAAGGGACCAGCACGGAUGCCAGACGGCCCUCAACCAUGCCGGGACCCAAGACUCCAUCUGCAGGCAGGAAGUGAAAGCACAGAUGCCAAAAGCAGUUGCCCCCUUGCUGGUGGAAUAUGACCAUCUUUAAACUGGGAACAAAGAUUGUCAAGGUCGUGACUCCCCUGAGAAAGCAAAUACUUUUGCUGAAAAGAUAACAGCAAGUUAAACCAGAAGAACAGAUCAACCUGCCUUACUCAAAACAAUCUGUGCACAAGCAGUGUCCUCAUCUCAAGAAUGAGUUAGAAAUGCAGAGUCCCAGGCCCCGCCCUAGUCUCCUGAAUCAAAUCUGCUUUUCAGCAAGCUCCCCAUUUGAUUGGCACGUAUGUUGAAGUGUGACACACUGGUAGAAAUGACUGAUACCAUCUCAUUGGUGGAAAACAGGUUUCGAAGAAUCGAGACAUGUGAGAAGGAAAAAGAAAGAUGGCAUGAGGAGGCAAAGCUAGAUCUCUCGUGACUCAGGCAGAUGGAGAAGAAGCAAAGAAAAGGAGAAACAGGGAUGGCCUUAGAGCCAGACAGGCCAAACUUCAAAUCCUGCCUCUGUCACUUGGCACUCACUCUGUAUGCAUUUCAUCAUAGGUGAAGAAAGACAGUUUUUACUUGGUAAUGGUGAAUGGAAGAGUUCACUGCCACAUGGGCAAAGGCUCCCUAGAACCUAACACCAUAAUAUUGGAGUCCAAUUGCAAUACUUGAGUUCAGGAAGUCAUUUCCAGCUCACCCACCCCAGGAUCAUAGGCCAUCGCAGCAGGAAACUCCCUUGCAGUUUGAGUGAGCCUGCUUCAUAUAUCCUAGGAGGCAGGGAACCUCAGAACCGCAUCUGCCUGCAGCCACACAGUUGAGCAAAUGGAAGAGAGAGACUUCAAACCCAGGCACUUGGGUGAAGCCCUGUUGGUAAUCAGCACCAAAAAUGCCCUUCUGUCUACUGAGACUGCUGUUUCUCAGAUGAGGAGGCUAGAAUCACCUGCACCCUGGCUGCCUAAUAGAAAUUCAAAUUCCUAUGUUCUACCCUAGAAAUCUGAAUCCGCAUUUUAAAUGAGCCUUCAGCCCCCCUUCCCCAGGUAAGUCUCUCCUUUUUCCACCACAGGCUUUCUUCCCUGAGCCCAUGCAGCUUUGCUAGAUGCAGCCCAGGCUGCCAGUGCUGGCCAGUGUCCAGUUUGGCUGACCUUGUUCACCCCAGUGGGAUGGCAAAGCUGAUAGGUCCGCAGGGUACUGGAGGGCCAGCAAGGCCUUUCACAGCACAGACAUGCCAUGAGGGUGAUGUGCAAGGCAAGCUGAAGGAACAGAAGGUAGGACAGUCCCCGCUGCCCUUGCCUUGAGGGAAACCUGUUUCAUCCACCAUCUGCUGGGAUCUGGAAGGGAGCCGCCAAGCUCCUCCCGGCACUGGGGGAUUAGCAGUCACUUAUCUCAGCUGUUCCUCCAUUCAGAGGUGUCCCAGUAUUUACAGAGAAGCCAGAAGCAGACCAAGCCACACUUAAUUCCUUCCCAGAAGCCCUCCCCAUUCCUUCCCGCAUUCCGUGUGUUAAGGAGGCAAUGGGCUUGGGGUCUCUGUAGAUCAGGCCUGGGUGGGGGAGCCAGCCUUCCUAAAUAUUUCUGUUUUCUCUCCUUGUACAUUUGUUCACCUCCACUGCCUUCUGGCUGGAGCUGGGUUUCAGUUUUCAUUAAAAGAAGAAAGUGC
ensembl:lncRNA